rnacentral:rRNA from 1 species
UACGAAGGGGGCUAGCGUUGUUCGGAAUCACUGGGCGUAAAGCGCACGUAGGCGGAUCUUUAAGUCAGGGGUGAAAUCCUGGAGCUCAACUCCAGAACUGCCUUUGAUACUGAGGGUCUCGAGUCCGGGAGAGGUGAGUGGAACUGCGAGUGUAGAGGUGAAAUUCGUAGAUAUUCGCAAGAACACCAGUGGCGAAGGCGGCUCACUGGCCCGGUACUGACGCUGAGGUGCGAAAGCGUGGGGAGCAAACAGG